GGUAUCCAGUGUGUGCAUCAAGGAUUUAAAUGCAAGACAAUGCAAUUACAAAACUAAAGAAUUAGUGAAUUAAAAAAAACAGUGUUAAGUGGCAAAGUCAAAGAGUGACAGAAACUCGGAAGCAAUGGACAAAAAGAGCCUGAUUCGACAACAACAACAAUUUUUUUUUUAAUUACACCAAUGCUUAAAAGCUUACAAAUCACUGCAAACCCACUUGUAGGGAUCUAGGCCAAGGAGAGGAUGAUGAAGGAGCCUAGAUUUGGAUCCAAGGAUAGUCACGGUGGUUACAAUGUAGUUUUAUUGGGAGCCGUGGGGAACUGGUUAAAAUAUUAAGUGGUAAGGGCCAAAGUUUCUGGAGCUCCAUGUGCACUUCGUUGGGUGAAGUCACUGGCAGGUUAAUCGGGGGAUGGUUGGUGGGGGGAGGUUGGGCGGGGCAGGAGAGCAGGCAGAACCACCCACGCCCAUCCCCCUGAGACUCAGAGCACCUUUGAAAGCGCCAGGUGCACUACUAGGUAGGCCUCAUGUGGGCCUGGAUGGAGGCGGUGCCUGAAGGGGCUGGGCCAGCAGGGUUGAACUAGAAAUGAGGGUGGGGGCUGGUCGGGGCCAGCCUUGCUGACUGUGGGAGCGUCCCGCGAGGAGGCCAGGCUAGUCCUACUGCCCCUCGGUGACGGCGGUGAGGUACAGGUACAGGGCCAGUCCCGGGAAAGGCUGGCCCUUUCAGAGAGGAGCUUUGCCCCUCUGACCCCGCGGACGUCAGUGCUCAGGCGCUGCGGGGCUGGAAGAGGAACCCUAGGCUACAGGGCAUGAAAGAAGGCAACUAAAACCCCACAGAUCAGACUAAUGCUUCAGGAGGCAGGAACGAAGAGGAACUUCAGCGGGGGGCUGGAUUGCAGGCACUGUCGCUGAAGGGGAAAAGGGUUCUUGGAGCCAUUUUUCAAGACCAGGUGGUGAAUACCCGACAGUACUUGGAACAUGUGAAAGACUCCACAACAGGAAUGCAAGGUAGAGUGGUGAAGCUAUUCACCAACCAUUUCCGAGUGACCUCUCGCCCUCAACUCCUCACGUAUAAGUACAACAUUGAUUAUAUGCCAGAGGUUGAAGAUGGAAAAGUUCGUACAGAUUUGCUCUGCCAGCAUAAACAUGUAAUUGGAGAGUGUCCCACAUUAGAUGGGAACUCUUUAUUACUGCCUCAUAAACUACAAAAGCAGGAAUUUUGAAGAUGAUGGAUUUGAAGCAAGUUGGUCGCAACUAUUACAACGAGAAUGAGGCCACGGAGUUCCUCAAUCACCAGACAUUUUAAGCUGAAGAGCGUGGAUGUAAAGCUGCUUGGCCAGCAUCAUCUUAGGAGUCCUCGACUUUAUUCUUGCUUCCCAAUUUCAAAAUUUACGACAAAGCUCUCGGAAUCAGGACA